CGGUAGCAGGAGAAAGCUUGCUUUCUUGCUGACGAGUGGCGGACGGGUGAGUAAUGCUUGGGAAUCUGGCUUAUGGAGGGGGAUAACUACUGGAAACGGUAGCUAAUACCGCGUAAUAUCGAGAGAUUAAAGGGUGGGACUUUCGGGCCACCUGCCAUAAGAUGAGCCCAAGUGGGAUUAGGUAGUUGGUGGGGUAAAGGCCUACCAAGCCUACGAUCUCUAGCUGGUCUGAGAGGAUGGCCAGCCACACUGGAACUGAGACACGGUCCAGACUCCUACGGGAGGCAGCAGUGGGGAAUAUUGCACAAUGGGGGGAACCCUGAUGCAGCCAUGCCGCGUGAAUGAAGAAGGCCUUCGGGUUGUAAAGUUCUUUCGGUGAUGAGGAAGGUGUUUUGUUUAAUAGACAAAGCAAUUGACGUUAGUCACAGAAGAAGCACCGGCUAACUCCGUGCCAGCAGCCGCGGUAAUACGGAGGGUGCGAGCGUUAAUCGGAAUAACUGGGCGUAAAGGGCACGCAGGCGGAUUGUUAAGUGAGAUGUGAAAGCCCCGGGCUUAACCUGGGAAUUGCAUUUCAGACUGGCAGUCUAGAGUAUUUUAGGGAGGGGUAGAAUUCCACGUGUAGCGGUGAAAUGCGUAGAGAUGUGGAGGAAUACCGAAGGCGAAGGCAGCCCCUUGGGAAUA
rnacentral:rRNA from 1 species